GAUGAACGCUGGCGGCGUGCUUAACACAUGCAAGUCGAACGGUGAAGGAGAGCUUGCUCUCCGGAUCAGUGGCGAACGGGUGAGUAACACGUGAGCAAUCUGCCCCUGACUCUGGGAUAAGCGUUGGAAACGACGUCUAAUACCGGAUACGAGCUGCGAAGGCAUCUUCAGCAGCUGGAAAGAACUUCGGUCAGGGAUGAGCUCGCGGCCUAUCAGCUAGUUGGUGAGGUAAUGGCUCACCAAGGCGUCGACGGGUAGCCGGCCUGAGAGGGUGACCGGCCACACUGGGACUGAGACACGGCCCAGACUCCUACGGGAGGCAGCAGUGGGGAAUAUUGCACAAUGGGCGCAAGCCUGAUGCAGCAACGCCGCGUGAGGGACGACGGCCUUCGGGUUGUAAACCUCUUUUAGCAGGGAAGAAGCGAAAGUGACGGUACCUGCAGAAAAAGCACCGGCUAACUACGUG
rnacentral:rRNA from 1 species